UGCGCAGGCGGUUUUGUAAGACAGAGGUGAAAUCCCCGGGCUCAACCUGGGAACUGCCUUUGUGACUGCAAAGCUGGAGUACGGCAGAGGGGGAUGGAAUUCCGCGUGUAGCAGUGAAAUGCGUAGAUAUGCGGAGGAACACCGAUGGCGAAGGCAGUCCCCUGGGCCUGUACUGACGCUCAUGCACGAAAGCGUGGGAGCAAACA
rnacentral:rRNA from 1 species